GCAAACUUGGUCAUUUAGAGGAAGUAAAAGUCGUAACAAGGUUUCCGUAGGUGAACCUGCGGAAGGAUCAUUACAGUGUUUUGCUGCGGCGCUCCCUAGCCUGCGGGCUAGACCGCGCCGCCAGAACCCCACCCUUGACUACCGAACCACCUGUUGCUUUGGCGGGCCUGCCCCCUGUGCUGCCGGGGUUUGUGCCCCGGCUCGUGCCCGCCGAAGAAAAAAUAUGAACUCUUUUUUGAAUCUGUUGCCGUCUGAGUGGGCUUGCGAAUUGUUAAAACUUUCAACAAUGGAUCUCUUGGUUCCAGCAUCGAUGAAGAACGCAGC
rnacentral:misc_RNA from 1 species